GGACAGGUGGUGCAUGGUUGUCGUCAGCUCGUGUCGUGAGAUGUUGGGUUAAGUCCCGCAACGAGCGCAACCCCUAUUGUUAGUUGCCAUCAUUCAGUUGGGCACUCUAGCGAGACUGCCGGUAAUAAACCGGAGGAAGGUGGGGAUGACGUCAAAUCAUCAUGCCCCUUAUGACCUGGGCUACACACGUGCUACAAUGGUUGGUACAACGAGUUGCGAGUCGGUGACGGCGAGCUAAUCUCUUAAAGCCAAUCUCAGUUCGGAUUGUAGGCUGCAACUCGCCUACAUGAAGUCGGAAUCGCUAGUAAUCGCGGAUCAGCACGCCGCGGUGAAUACGUUCCCGGGCCUU
rnacentral:rRNA from 1 species